GGAACAAUCAUUGGUGGACCCCACAACGGAAUUAUUGUUGGAUUGAGAAAACGACAAAAAUAUUUUAUGAAAAUAACGGCGGAAGUUUUACCGUUAACUGUUGAAACACCCGGUGUUAAAAGUAUAGUAUUACGCGUGGUUGCAUAGUAGCACAUGGUAUUGAUUAUUGAUGCUUACGUGAGAAGUCACUCAGUUUUUGUGACGCCCCCAAAAUAGGUAUACAUCACCCAUCUUGAGUCGCCAAAUACAUGGUACAAAAUUUAAAUACAACUUAAUAAUACAACUGUCGUGUAGAAUACGACAAGACAUAAUUGAGAGUUUUAAUAAGAAUAUUUUUAUCGAGACAAUAUCCA
rnacentral:lncRNA from 1 species